CAGCAGCCACGGGAAUACGAAGGGUGCAAGCGUUACUCGGAAUUACUGGGCGUAAAGCGCGCGUAGGUGGUGGUUUAAGUCCGUUGUGAAAGCCCUGGGCUCAACCUGGGAAUUGCAGUGGAUACUGGGUCACUAGAGUGUGGUAGAGGAUAGUGGAAUUUCCGGUGUAGCAGUGAAAUGCGUAGAGAUCGGAAGGAACAUCUGUGGCGAAGGCGACUAUCUGGGCCAACACUGACACUGAGGCACGAAAGCGUGGGGAGCAAACAGGAUUAGAUACCCCUGUAGUCCCUGUCUCUUAUAC
rnacentral:rRNA from 1 species